CGCCGUUAUCACGAAUCUCGCAAAAGAGAUAGCAACCUGCAACAACGAGCAAGGUGCUAAAACGAUAAGCCAAUUCUGUUGGAAAAAAUGUUGUUUUC
rnacentral:ncRNA from 2 species